rnacentral:misc_RNA from 1 species
UUAAGUUCAGCGGGUAUUCCUACCUGAUCCGAGGUCAACCUUCAGAAGUUGGGGGUUUAACGGCGUGGCCGCGCUUUGUCCCGUUGCGAGGUUAGAUUACUACGCAGAGGAGUACAGCGUGACCGCCACUAGAUUUCGGGGACGGCGCGCCGCUAGGGACGGGCCGAUCCCCAACACCAGGCUCCGACCGCGCGAGGCGG